ACCAGUACUGCACUUCAGUACUGUAUACAAAUGUUGAGUUACUUGUAUUUCACUUGAUUCUUUUUUCAUGCCACUUUCUACUUCUACUCCGCUACAUUUCAGAGAGAAAUAUUGUAAUUUUUUACUCCACUACACUAAUCUGACAGCUAUAGAUACUUCUU